GAUGAACGCUGGCGGCGUGCUUAACACAUGCAAGUCGAACGGAAAGGCUCCUGCUUGCAGGGGUACUCGAGUGGCGAACGGGUGAGUAACACGUGGGUGAUCUGCCCUGCACUUCGGGAUAAGCCUGGGAAACUGGGUCUAAUACCGGAUAGGACCACAUUUUGGAUGGUGUGGUGGAAAGUUUUUCGGUGUGGGAUGAGCUGGCGGCCUAUCAGCUUGUUGGUGGGGUAAUGGCCUACCAAGGCGUCGACGGGUAGCCGGCCUGAGAGGGUGUACGGCCACAUUGGGACUGAGAUACGGAGCAGACGCCUACGGGAGGCAGCAGUGGGGAAUAUUGCACAAUGGGCGCAAGCCUGAUGCAGAGACGCCGGGUGGGGGAUGACGGCCUUCGGGGUGUAAACGCCUUUCGCUAGGGACGAAGCGGAAGUGACGGUACCUGGAGAAGAAGCACCGGCUAACUACGUG
rnacentral:rRNA from 1 species